rnacentral:rRNA from 1 species
AUUGAACGCUGGCGGCAGGCCUAACACAUGCAAGUCGAGCGGAUGAAGGGAGCUUGCUCCUGGAUUCAGCGGCGGACGGGUGAGUAAUGCCUAGGAAUCUGCCUGGUAGCGGGGGAUAACGUCCGGAAACGGGCGCUAAUACCGCAUACGUCCUGAGGGAGAAAGUGGGGGAUCUUCGGACCUCACGCUAUCAGAUGAGCCUAGGUCGGAUUAGCUAGUUGGUGGGGUAAAGGCCUACCAAGGCGACGAUCCGUAACUGGUCUGAGAGGAUGGUCAGUCACACUGGAACUGAGACACGGUCCAGACUCCUACGGGAGGCAGCAGUGGGGAAUAUUGGACAAUGGGCGAAAGCCUGAUCCAGCCAUGCCGCGUGUGUGAAGAAGGUCUUCGGAUUGUAAAGCACUUUAAGUUGGGAGGAAGGGCAGUAAGUUAAUACCUUGCUGUUUUGACGUUACCAACAGAAUAAGCACCGGCUAACUUCGUG